rnacentral:rRNA from 1 species
CAGUCGCCGCGGUAAUACGUAGGUCCCGAGCGUUGUCCGGAUUUAUUGGGCGUAAAGCGAGCGCAGGCGGUUAGAAAAGUCUGAAGUGAAAGGCAGUGGCUCAACCAUUGUAGGCUUUGGAAACUGUUUAACUUGAGUGCAGAAGGGGAGAGUGGAAUUCCAUGUGUAGCGGUGAAAUGCGUAGAUAUAUGGAGGAACACCGGUGGCGAAAGCGGCUCUCUGGUCUGUAACUGACGCUGAGGCUCGAAAGCGUGGGGAGCGAACAGGAUUAGAUACCCCCGUAGUCCCUGUCUCUUAUACA